UACGUAGGCAGCAAGCGUUGUUCGGAAUUACUGGGCGUAAAGAGUGUGUAGGCGGUGCUCUAAGUUCGGUGUGAAAUCUCCCGGCUCAACUGGGAGGGUGCGCCGAAAACUGGGGUGCUGGAGCACGGGAGAGGAAAGCGGAAUUCCUGGUGUAGCGGUGAAAUGCGUAGAUAUCAGGAGGAACACCGGCGGUGUAGACGGCUUUCUGGACCGUAGCUGACGCUGAGACACGAAAGCGUGGGUAGCAAACAGG
rnacentral:rRNA from 1 species